rnacentral:rRNA from 1 species
CUCUGUGACUCCUACGGGAGGCAGCAGUGGGGAAUAUUGCACAAUGGGCGCAAGCCUGAUGCAGCCAUGCCGCGUGUGUGAAGAAGGCCUUCGGGUUGUAAAGCACUUUCAGUUGUGAGGAAGGUGGUGUCGUUAAUAGCGGCAUCAUUUGACGUUAGCAACAGAAGAAGCACCGGCUAACUCCGUGCCAGCAGCCGCGGUAAUACGGAGGGUGCGAGCGUUAAUCGGAAUUACUGGGCGUAAAGCGCAUGCAGGUGGUUUGUUAAGUCAGAUGUGAAAGCCCCGGGGCUUAACCUCGGAAUUGCAUUUGAAACUGGCAGGCUAGAGUCUUGUAGAGGGGGUAGAAUUUCAGGUGUAGCGGUGAAAUGCGUAGAGAUCUGAAGGAAUACCAGUGGCGAAGGCGGCCCCCUGGACAAAGACUGACGCUCAGAUGCGAAAGCGUGGGGAGCAAACAGGAUUAGAUACCCUGGGAG